rnacentral:lncRNA from 1 species
CACCUGGCCAAGUGUGGCAAAGUACUCACUGCUACCACCCCAGAGCCAUCAGCAAGCCAGGCCAUCCAGUUCCAGUCUGAAGGGGUGCUGUGAUCUACAGCAACAAUGUCAGCCCUGAGGGUGGGCGGUCUCCAGGAGUCCUUGGCAGCAGCCUACUGUGGCCCCCAGCUUUCAUUGAUAUUCCACACCCAGUUACCAAAAAAUUCUAGCCAAGAGUGGGCCAAGGCAUGGGCACUCAAGGUUGGCAACCUGAAUUUGAUUGCCUGAACCUGCAUAAAGGUGAGAGAACCAACUCCACAAAAGUUGUCCUCUGACUUCCACACAUAUGUCCCCACUCAGGCCAUGUGCACAUAUACAAAUAAUAAUUGUUUGUUUUAAAUUAAAAGGCAACCUUGAACCACAGCCCCUGCUGAGGAGGAGAAUCUGGAAGGGCUCCCUGGAGGAGGUGUCCUUCAGGAUGUUCCCAACUUGAGAAGAGCUUUGCUGAGAGAGCCAGGCGGGAACAAUUCCUGGAUUCAUCCCAAAUCAAGGAAAACUUCACUCAGCUUCACAGAGUGUGGGGGAAAAGGAUUCCAGCAUCUCUCGCCACCCUUUCUUCUAGUGGAAAUCAAGAUUCACAGGUGCAGCCACUCCCCACCUUCUCGGAAGAUGAAGAUGAGGAUGAAGGUCUGAACAGGGAGUCAUCUGGUUCUCUCCUCCCAAAUACAGUGUGGUCUCCACUCAGGGCUUGGGGAAUCAGAUGCUCAGCUCCUAAUGGCGGGCGCUGAUGAACAUGGCAAGGUGGAGAGGAAGAUGGGCUUAAUCACGAUGAAGAAGAGUGUGCUGAUGAAGAGGUGACUAGGCAGCUCCUGUGGAAAGGUUAUUCAGUCACUCGUUCAUUUAUCCCAUCAUCCAUCCAAAAAGUUCUGUGCAGAGAACAUGAGCUCUGGAACUUCAUGGACUGAGUUCAAGUCCCAGCUCUGCCACCAUUCACUGUGUGACCUCAGGAAAAUUGCUUCGCUUCUCUGAGUACUAGACACUCAUAAACAGAGGAUAAGAAAAGACUCUACCCUGUAGCAUUGUGGGGAACACGUGCUACAUCACAUAGAGAAUGACUUAUGUGGAGCCUUAUGAAAAAAAGUAUUUUGGCAGCAAUGUUAGCUGUCAUUAAGGCUUCAAUAACUUAGCAGGUGCUGGGCUACAAUUGUCAGAAUCCAAAGAGGAGCAAGUCAAGCCAUUCUGCUUGAGUAGACUCACAAGGGGACAGACACCAUCAGACACAAUGUCAAAGCAGGAG